rnacentral:lncRNA from 1 species
GUCAUGGGCCACUGCCCCUGGCUCUGGGUAGGUUCUUGUGGGUGGCUGUGGAUUGGUGAGUGGCAUUUAGGUAUGCUAAGAAAUUUUGUUCACUGCCUGCUUAUCAUUUCCUGAAGACGCUGGUCCACAGACUUAAAUGUGCAACAGAAUCACCUAUAAGGCUUGUUAAAACCCAUACCACUGGGCCCCAGCCACCAGUUUUUGAUUCAGCACUUCUAGGGUGGAUGGAACCUGAGAAUCUGCAUUUGUAAAAAAAUUCCCUGGUGUUGUCCAAGCUGCUGGUUCCGGGACCACACAUUGAGAACCACUGCCUUAAAGGAUGUGUUUCCUAGCUUUGCCCCUCCCAACCUCCCACAUCUGUUAAAAAAACGAAGAUUCCUGGGUCCCACCCUCAUCUAUUGAAUAAGUCUCUCCCGGGGAGGAGCCAGAACUUGGUUUUGUCAAGGGUCAUCUCUUGGUUCUCAUCCUCAGUGACAUUUGGAAGCAUUGUCUGAUAAUGCCAAGUGAGCAGGGCAUGGUGGCACAUGUCUAUAAUCUCAGCUGCUUGGGAGGCUGAGGCAGGGGGUACUGAAAGUUUGAGGACAGUCUAAGCAAUUUUGUAAGACCAUGUUUUUUUUUGUUUGUUUGUUUUUGGUAGCAGGGAUUGAACCCAGGACGGUCACCGUUGCAGGAAGCCAGCUAGACAAGCAGCAACAAGUGGCACUCGGAAAGACGGAGAACUCAUGCUUCAUUUUACUCCAGCCGGCACAGAGGGGAACAAACUCUAAAUUCUGAGCGCUGGCCCAUAGUUUCUCAUAACAUUUAUAGGCAAUUUUGUGCCAUAAAAUUUCUAGUCUACAUGACAGGAGGCCUUGUGUGGGGUUUCUAGUGGGAAGUGUGUUUACAGAAGCAAAAAAGCGAUAAGAGGAACUGGCUCUUUGCACAGGCAUAAAUAAAUCUUUGGCCUUGUGUCUGAAGCCUGGUCCAGGGGUGUUUACGUUUCAAAAGAGAGUAGUCAGAUUCCUAGAGACAGUUAUUUACAAUCCAAAUGGUAGGGACCUAUGGUUAAUUAGGUUUCCUGAAGAAAGGCUGACAGAAGGGUGGUGGUGGUGGUGGAGGGAACUCUGACCCUUUCCCAGGCUUUCUUUCUCAUGAUAACAUUCUUGUGAUUUCAUUUUACAACCAGGUCUGGUUUUGCUAUCUCGUAACCACUGAGCUACAUCCCCAGCCCUUUUUAUUUUAUUUUGAGACAGACUCUUCCUAAAUUCCCUAGGGCCUCACUAAAUUUUUUGAGGCUUGUUUUGAGCUUGCAAUCCUCCUGCCUCAGCCUCCUGAACCACUGGAAUUCAGGCAUGUGCUACCAAGUCCAGCUAUGAGACCCUGUUUCAAAAUAAAAAAAUAAAGGGCUGGGGAUGUAGCUCAGUUGUAUAGCAUGCCUGGGCUCAAUCCCAAAUGAUGUAAGAAACAGUGAAAAAUCAGACCCACAAGCUUAUGUUAGAAUAACAAAUAUUUGGGUUUAGAGUUUUGGAGUCACUAGUGGUUUACCUGGUAACUACAAACAACAACAGCAAAAUAAUAUAAUUAGUAAAGAAAAAUUUAAAAACCUGGGCUGGAGAUAUAGCUCGGUUGGUAGAGUGCUUUCCCCAAUGCACAAGGCCCUGGGUUCAAAAAAAAAAAGUGCUCGACUUUUUCCUCUUUCUUUCCCAAACUCAGCCUUAGACAUUAGUACUGGCUCUUCUAGUAAAUAAUGUGAAAGUUUAAACAUCUUAAUUGGCUUUAUUCAGUAUUCUAGUAUUUACCAACACUUCAUUCCUCAAAGCAAGAUGAGAUGAGCUGGGUUGAACAAAGCAGAAAUUCAGAACAAAAAGUAUAUUGGAGGUGCUGAGGUUGUGGCUCAGCGGUAGAGUGCUUGCCUAGCAUGUGUGAGGCCCUGGGCUUGAUCCUUAGCACCACAUAAAAUAAACGAAAGUUUAAAUAAAAUAAAACUAAAAAUUAAAUCGGUCAUUUCAAAGUUAUUUUCCUUGUAACAUUGGGAUAGGG